rnacentral:rRNA from 1 species
UACGGGGGGGGGCAAGCGUUGUUCGGAAUUACUGGGCGUAAAGGCUCGUAGGUGGCCAACUAAGUCAGACGUGAAAUCCCUCGGCUUAACCGGGGAACUGCGUCUGAUACUGGAUGGCUUGAGUUCGGGAGAGGGAUGCGGAAUUCCAGGUGUAGCGGUGAAAUUCGUAGAUAUUGGGAAGAACACCGGUGGCGAAGGCGGCAUCCUGGACCGGUAUUGACGCUGAGGAGCGAAAGCCAGGGGAGCAAACAGG